GCUGGCGGCAGGCCUAACACAUGCAAGUCGAGCGGUAACAUUUCUAGCUUGCUAGAAGAUGACGAGCGGCGGACGGGUGAGUAACGCGUAGAAAUCUACCUAGUAGUGGGGGAUAGCCCAGAGAAAUUUGGAUUAAUACCGCAUACGCCCUACGGGGGAAAGCGGGGGAUCUUCGGGCCUCGUGCUAUUAGAUGAGUCUGCGUCGGAUUAGCUUGUUGGUGAGGUAAUGGCUCACCAAGGCGACGAUCCGUAGCUGGUCUGAGAGGAUGACCAGCCACACUGGAACUGAGACACGGUCCAGACUCCUACGGGAGGCAGCAGUGGGGAAUAUUGCACAAUGGGCGCAAGCCUGAUGCAGCCAUGCCGCGUGUGUGAAGAAGGCCUUAGGGUUGUAAAGCACUUUCAGCAGUGAGGAAAGGGGUGUCGUUAAUAGCGCCAUCCUGUGACGUUAACUGCAGAAGAAGGACCGGCUAACUCCGUG
rnacentral:rRNA from 1 species